rnacentral:rRNA from 1 species
UACAGAGGGGGCAAGCGUUGUUCGGAAUUACUGGGCGUAAAGGGCGCGUAGGCGGCCGCCUAAGUCAGACGUGAAAUCCCUCGGCUCAACCGGGGAGCUGCGUCUGAUACUGGGUGGCUUGAAUCCGGGAGAGGGAUGCGGAAUUCCAGGUGUAGCGGUGAAAUGCGUAGGAUAUCUGGAGGAACACCGGUGGCGAAGGCGGCAUCCUGGACCGGUAUUGACGCUGAGGCGCGAAAGCCAGGGGAGCAAAGCGGG